CGUCAUGCUCGUGUCGUGAGAUGUUGGGUUAAGUCCCGCAACGAGCGCAACCCUUAAGCUUAGUUGCCAUCAUUCAGUUGGGCACUCUAAGUUGACUGCCGGUGACAAACCGGAGGAAGGUGGGGAUGACGUCAAAUCAUCAUGCCCCUUAUGAUUUGGGCUACACACGUGCUACAAUGGACAAUACAAAGGGCAGCUAAACCGCGAGGUCAAGCAAAUCCCAUAAAGUUGUUCUCAGUUCGGAUUGUAGUCUGCAACUCGACUACAUGAAGCUGGAAUCGCUAGUAAUCGUAGAUCAGCAUGCUACGGUGUAACGUUCCC
rnacentral:rRNA from 1 species